CUUCGAGCCUCGUUGAGCUGAACUUGUACCUUUUGAAGCUGGUUUGGGAGGUAUUCUAACCUGAGCGAGAGUGCGAACGAGCUUUGGAUCGUCGUGAGCUGACUUGUGAGAGCUCUUGGAAGCGUCUCUUGAGCAGCAUUGGGGCUUCGUUGAGCCGUUGUGGGACUUCUUGUGGAUAAUCGAGCCUAGUACUAGUGGGUCGGACCUAACAGAGCAAGUGAAGCUCCCCUAUGUCUAUAUGUACUAUAGAAUUG